AUUUGGGUGGCAGAGUUCGGAUAUUGCAAAAGACCUAAGCCCUUUCCACGGAGGUUCAAAUCCUCCCCCAAAUA
rnacentral:tRNA from 1 species